GAUGAACGCUGGCGGCGUGCCUAAUACAUGCAAGUAGAACGCUGAAGCUUGGUGCUUGCACCGAGCGGAUGAGUUGCGAACGGGUGAGUAACGCGUAGGUAACCUGCCUCUUAGCGGGGGAUAACUAUUGGAAACGAUAGCUAAUACCGCAUAAAAGUCGAUAUCGCAUGAUAUUGAUUUGAAAGGUGCAAAUGCAUCACUAAGAGAUGGACCUGCGUUGUAUUAGCUAGUUGGUGAGGUAACGGCUCACCAAGGCGACGAUACAUAGCCGACCUGAGAGGGUGAUCGGCCCCCCCGGGACUGAGACACGGCCCAGACUCCUACGGGAGGCAGCCGUAGGGAAUCUUUGGCCAUGGGGGCAACCCUUACCGAGCCACGCCGCGUGAGUGAAGAAGGUUUUCGGAUCGUAAAGCUCCGUUGUAAGAGAAGAACGAGUGUGAGAGUGGAAAGUUCACACUGUGACGGUAACUUACCAGAAAGGGACGGCUAACUACGUG
rnacentral:rRNA from 1 species